CCUACGGGAGGCAGCAGUGGGGAAUAUUGGACAAUGGGCGCAAGCCUGAUCCAGCAACGUCGCGUGGAGGACGAAGGUCUUCGGAUCGUAAACUCCUGUCAGACGGGACGAAGGUGCCGGGGUAAAUAAUCCCGGUACUUGACGGUACCGUCAGAGGAAGCCCCGGCUAACUCCGUGCCAGCAGCCGCGGUAAUACGGAGGGGGCGAGCGUUAUUCGGAAUUAUUGGGCGUAAAGGGCGCGUAGGCGGCCUGGCAAGUCAAAGGUGAAAUCCCUCGGCUCAACUGAGGAACUGCCUUUGAAACUGCAAGGCUUGAGGCCGGGAGGGGGUAGCGGAAUUCCCAGUGUAGCGGUGAAAUGCGUAGAUAUUGGGAGGAACACCAGUGGCGAAGGCGGCUACCUGGACCGGUUCUGACGCUGAUGCGCGAAAGCGUGGGUAGCAAACAGGAUUAGAUACCCUGGUAGUCCACGCUGUAAACGAUGGGUGCUCGGUGUCGCGGGUAUCGACCCCUGCGGUGCCUUAGCCAACGCGUUAAGCACCCCGCCUGGGGAGUACGAUCGCAAGGCUGAAACUCAAGGGAAUUGACGGGGGC
rnacentral:rRNA from 1 species